CUUUUUUUUUUUUCGUCCGUCUAUUCCUCACUCACCUUUUCCCCCCUCCUCCUCCCGUGCUCCAUCUUUUUCUUUUCAGAGGUUGGUGUCAGAGAGCGAUAGAGCGAAGGCAAUGUGUUCUUAACUCUGAUCAAAGGAGGGAGAGAGGAAAGCUUUUCUAAUGACUGGCAUUCACUCUUCUUUCUUAAUCCAUCUCUCCUCUUACCCAUCUCUCCCCCUCUCUCUUUCACUCGCCUUUCUCUCUCAGGGCAUCGGUAAUUAUCGGCGAGGUCUUAGUGACUGCAAAUGAAAUUACCAUUUAAGAGAGAGGGAGAAAGAGACAUCCCCUUUGCCAUAGGAGAGGGCUUAAGUGAGGCGGGUAGGGUUUCAGCUAUUGAUUUUUAAACUGCUACAUCAGAGAGUGUAAUGCUUUCAUAAUUUCAAAUAAACUGUCUGGUUACGAAGUACUAAUGAGAGAAAGAGUGAGAGCAGACCCAAACCAAGUACGAGAAGUAUGGGGGUUGAAUUUUAAGUGUUGACGUGCGUAUGGGAAAAUUAAGCUAAUGCACCAGCCAGACAAAAUGAUCAAUUUGUCGAUAAUCCUGCAGAUACUGGCAGUUUUUAAGAAAUGUUUGAUGCCUAUGAUUUUUUUUUUUUUUUUUUUUUUCGCAGCUACAAAUACUUAUGUUCCACUGAUACAUCAUAUCUGAUCUGACAUUACAUCCAAAACUUUUCAAUUCACCAACAGGUAAUAAAUAAAAAUGGAAAAUGUCGAAAGUGUCUCAUUUCACACCACCGCCGCCAUUCAGCCAGGCAGAUAUAUUCCUCAGAAAAAAUCCAAUUUCCAGCCCUCUUUUUAAAAGUAUGAAAGGUACUCACUCUUUUUCUGCAGAUGUAAGAAGUUUCUAGUAUGUGAUAAGUUAAAUAAUAUUUUGUCUAAAGGUGAUUGAAUAUACUGACUGAUAGAGUACAGAAAGAUAAUAAAGAUGAAGAUAGAGAAAGGAAGAUGGAUUUUCGGAUGACACUGCAUAAACUCAAAUCUCUCUCUUUUCUUUUUCUUGUCUCUCUCUCUCUCUCCCUCUCUCUCUCUCUUUCUCUCACCACAGACCGCAGGCCGUUGGAGGCAGCUUAGAAAUCUCUUACAUCUGGAAGAGCCAUAAUUCAUGGGAUUUGGCCUAACAGCCAUGACAGGCAUUGGGGCGGCCAGCAACAACUGUCUCCUGUGUUAGCAACACUGUAUGUGUGUGUGUGUGAGAGAGCGAGAGAGAGAGAGAGAGAGAGAGGAAGAGACAAGAACUGAGAGACAAAGACAGACAGUGUGAGUGUGUGUGUGUUUGUUUUUCUCCUUCUUUUUAUUUAUGCAGGGAGCUCAGGAUGAGACGACCAGAGGAAGUUAAUUUAACUUUUGAUUUAUUCGACAAAGUUUCGAGACAUUAUUUAUACGUGUUUAUAACAAACAUUCAAUCAGAUUCCAUUUAGUCGAGUGGGCCUGCUAAAUGGAUGCUACGUGCCCCUUAAAAAUCACCAAAUUUCUAAAUGAAAACAUUAAACAUUACACUCUGAAACAUUUGAGAAAAAUUGAGACAAAAACAACAUUGAAAAAACAAUUAAAAUCAUCUUUAUCUUGAUGAAACACUUAAAAUAUGUAAAUAUGAGCUCAAAAUAGGGGAUUAUAAUAAUGAAUCUGCUUAAACUAUCCCCAAUUUCAUAUGAUUUGAUUUAAAAUAAAUUAUAGAUAUAGUUUUUUGUGUUUGUGUGUAUGUAAUUUAUAAUUUCAUAUUGUAUCCUGCUCCUGCUGAAGUGACUGUUACGGACACUUCUCUCUUACAAACUAUGAUUAAAUUGACAAAAAUAAUAUCAAUUCACUGUUUUUCUUUGCUUCUUUGUUUUUUUUAGUGUAUAUGCAUCCGCGCACAAAUUCAUACAAGAGACACAAACGGACCUACAGCAGAAAAAGCAGUGGCGUCCAUGUGUUUCAUAGCGUGCCAGAGGCUCCCUGUGUCGGCCCUAAAUAUUACACACAGACAGUAGCUAUCACUUCCAAGCCUGAAAUCCCACAUUCCACAUUCCUGAUUCCAGCGGCUCGCCUGCUAAGCUGGGCACCACAUGAAGAGCCAUUGUUAGAGAGAGAGGGGUCAUGUAUCUCUCUCGCUCUGUCUGUCUGUCUCUCAGCCCUCCUUCUCUCCGCCCAAAUAUCUCUCACUGUCAUAUUCUCUCUGUCUGUCUGUGGCUCUCUCUUGCUCCGUCUCUCUUUCUCUUUCUCCCUCUGCUGGUUUAUCUUUAUCUCUCUUACUUAUUCCUCCUCUCCUCCGCUGUGCUUUGUCGCCCACUCUCCCACUCACUUCUUCCUUUCUCUUUUUUUUUUUUUUUUUCCACGUCUUGUAUUUGUUUGUUUUCUAUACCUUGCUCAACCUCCUGUCUCCUACGGAUGCAUUCUUUUCCGUGGCUCUCCUUCACUCUAUAAGACUCUUACUUUGCUUUCUUUCCCCUCUCUCACUCUCUCUCUCUUGCGAGGUCUGUCUGUCUCUCUCUCUCUCUCCCAGUGUGUCUCCAGAUAUUCAUGUAGAGAUUUUCUCACAUGUUAGAUAUAGAUUUACGACCCCAGCCAGAUCCCCGUGGCCACUAAAUUUGAUACCAUCCACUAAGCCACAUUGUUUUUUGUGUGUUCGGGCUUGUCUGUUGUGUGUGACUGUGUGUGUAUGUGUGUGUUCAUGCAUUACAAGGUGGAGGCGGGUGACUUUUAAAGGGUUAGCUUGGGUACGGUGGGCGCAGAGGAGGAAUUUACAGUUUAUUGAAGCACAGCAGCCAGGUGUGUGUAUGUGUGCGCAUAUAUACGUGUGUGUGUGUUAAACAGAAAGAGAGAGAGAGAGUGCCUGUGGGUGCCAGGUGACCAGGCUAACCUCUUGGCUGGUGUUUUUGGAUUUAGCCUUUGGAUAGCGGUGAAAAAUAAAAAUGGAAUGCUUUUUCAAUUACAGAUCAGAAAGCGAGCGAACAAAGGCAGGAGUAAAAGAAAAGAUGAGUUAUUGGGAUCUAACAUAUCAAGGCUUUCCUGACAGGAGCAUUGUUAAAAAUCCGAGUGCAUUAAUUUUGACUUUCGGGACAUUUUGUACUUGAACGUUUUCGAGAGUACAGCUGAGUCCAAUAAAAUCUGUUAGGUAAUGUUCAGAAGUUGUUGUACUUUUCAGAUUUUUUGGUAUUAGUGUCAUCUUUUAAUAAAGCAGCGGGAGAAACAAACGCCUGUAAUGCAUUUUGACAUCACAUUGUUGAACUGUGUUUCAUUUGAGAGCACAAAUGUGCGCAACAUGUACGUACAGAAAUAGAACAAGGAUUGAGUGAAAUAUGAAGACACAAACAACAACCUGUGGAAGGCAGUCACUGUUUUUGUGUUUUUGUGUUUUUUGUGCAUGUUAUUAAUUCUGACAGUAGUCAGUUUAAAGGUACUCGUCCUCUGCCAUGCAUAUUUAAUUGGCUGUAGGUGGUAUUUGUUGUGUUUUCAUGUCUGUUUGUUUGAAUCCUUUCCACAAGUUGUCAGGGGUGGGGCAUUUGGAAAUGGCACCGUCGAGCACCAAGGUUUGUAAUAUUGUUGUUUGUCUGUGUGAUGUGAGAUGCUAUUCGCCGUUUGAUGUUUGGCUUGGAGGAAAUACACAAAAUAAAAGCCCUGCGAGAUAAAGGUGUGUUUUUGCACAUGUUUGAGCGUGCGCGCAUCCCCUCAAACUGCUCGAGUGUCACUCACGCAAAGUGUGUGCAAAAUGUUUGCCCCCGCCGCAUGUGUUUGCAUGCAGGUAUUCGGCGUGUGUUUGUGUGUGUCCGCUUCACAUCUAAAAGUCAUAUCCUGCUUCAGAUCAAAUGGUGUAUGAAGGAGGGGAAUGACAGGGAGAGAAAGUGAUAGCUCUUUAAUGUUACCUAUCCACUCUCAAACCCAAAUAUAAGAGCAGGAAGACACAGAAUAGAAGAGUGUGUUUUAGAGGGGGGAAAGGAGUGACAUGAAACACUUAUGUAGAAAAGCUCUGAACAUGACGGUGGCUUUGUAGCUGAGGGGGAAAUGUCUCAGCAAACAGGAAGAAAGAGGUAAAUUGGAUGAAGGAAUAAAGGCGGUAGGGGCACGGAAUGAAACAGCAACUAAACUUUUUUUUUAUGUGUGCAUGUUGAGAUACAGUGAUAGUUUUACUUUUUGACUUGUUUCUCUGAGUCACCUCUUGCUUAUUUUUGGCUUUGAGGCGUUUCAACUUCUCCCUGCAUGUCAAAUGAACUCUUUACUUCAUGAUUUUACUAAAAAUUUCCUGCCUUAUUGUUUGUUAAAAAAAUGCAUUUCCACUCUGAAGUUUUCAUCCUUGACUGAAACGCUCUUGUUGUACAAAAUAUUACACUCUCUUAACCCAAAAGGGAAUAUGAUGCUUUGUAAAUGCAUUUUUUUUUUCUGUGUUUCUUCAACUUUUUCCUCCCCUUUUGUCCUCUCCUUCAAGUAGCCUGAGCUGAAAUGGAUGAAAAUAUUUACUGUGUGCACUCCUGCCACAGAUUCUUGACUUCUCUUGGUCUUUCACUCUCUUUUCUCCCCUGCUCUCUUGCUCCUAAAUCAGAGAAAAAAAACUGCUUGCUAUGACUCAAAUAAG